AGUAAACGUCUUCCUCCAAAGACCCUCGGUGGAAUAACAGUCAGUAAGGAGGUCAUCUAUUGUAAAGGUGGCAUGAAUUCUGGAGAGCACAAGCUGCCUGAACUCAUCAGGCAAUCUUUGGGACAUGGAAUGUGGUAACAAGAUUUAUUGACAUGCCUCAGAGAAAUGUCACUGCUGAGUUUGAGGUCAAAGAAUAUGAAACAAGUACCUCCUGAGCACCUGGGUGGAGUACGGGCCAAUUGAAGAGGAGGAACUGACUCCAGAGUACCAAGAUGCUUAUGAUGAUAUCAUGAUCCUCACUAGUGACAUCAGUACAUUUGAAUACAAAAUAAAGUACUGUAAACAUCCAUCAUUUUUCGUUUAUGCU